UAAGCACAAAAGGAAUUUUAGUCUUUAG
rnacentral:piRNA from 1 species